UACGAAGGGGGCUAGCGUUGCUCGGAAUUACUGGGCGUAAAGCGCACGUAGGCGGCUGUCUAAGUCGGGGGUGAAAUCCUGGAGCUCAACUCCAGAACUGCCUUCGAUACUGGAGAGCUCGAGUCCGGGGAGAGGUGAGUGGAACUGCGAGUGUAAGAGGUGAAAUUCGUAGAUAUUCGGAAGAACACCAGUGGCGAAGGCGGCUCACUGGUCCGGUACUGACGCUGAGAAGCGAAAGCAUGGGGAGCGAACAGG
rnacentral:rRNA from 1 species